rnacentral:lncRNA from 1 species
AGACGCAUAAGCCUGGCUCAGGAAAGAAGUAUCGGACAAAAACAGAAAGAAAGAAAAAAUGAGUAUCAAAGUUGCAUUUGAUCUCGUCAACAUUUUUUAUAAUUAGUAUUAUAUAUUUAUGUGCAUGUAGGAAGAAAAAUACAAAUAACCUCUCAAUUGUUUCAUGAAAGAUAUUUUUAGUUAAAGAAGUAGUAAAAGGGAAAGGAAAGAGAAGAAGAAGAGAGCAAGGGGGAAGAAGGAGGUUUUGGUUUUUUUCAUUCUAAUUUUAUCCCUCGUUGUCGUUUUUUGGUUUUGGUUCUUUCUGCUGAUUGCUUAGUUUCUGUUUUUGGCAUUUUUCUCUGCGCAGAAAUUUUUUUCUUUGUUUUGCAUUCUUUUUUUUUUUUUUUGUUUUCGUCUCUAUCCUUUCCGGCUCGCCCUCGCUGGGGACGAGAUGGUUGUCUUUUGUUGCUUUGUGGGUUUGUGUUCAGGUCGGCACGGAUCUGCGAGGGAGUUAUUUGCUGGAACCGGAGGGUGCUCUGAUCUUUAUCGGAAACUUGAGGAAGGGCUUCUGAUUGCAUCUCGACGGCAUAUUGGGACCGCACUGAUGUGUCCAGUGGUAUUGCUCCCGUUGGCUGUUUCCGGCUAGGCUUUACCGCGACUCUCUGGUUGUGUUUGAUUGGAGUUUUGAUGAUUGUUCUUGGGGUCUCUGUUCUUGCAUGUCUUCUUUGCUUCUGUUUCUGCUUGUUUUGUUGUGAUUGCUUUGUGUUUGGCUCUGUUUCUCGAUUGUUCGUGAUUCGCUUGCCAUGCUUUGUGAUGCUGUGGUGUGCGACAGUGCUGCGGUGAUGGAGUCGGUGUUUGCUUGCGCUGGUGGUGUCUAUAGAGUCAGUGUAGGGUCUUCUUCUGGGUUGCUGUUGAUUUGAUUUUGUCGUCUUUUAGAUUUGGGUUUGUUUCGGUUGUCUUUUGAUCUACUUUUUUUAUUUGUUUCUUUCAGUGUGGGCCCCAGAAUAAUUUAUGUAUCCUCCCUUAGCUCUUUUCCAAGCUUUAUAAAAUACAAACUCUAUUAUAUUAAUUAAAAAAAAAUUUUAAUAUUUUUUACAUGGCAUUUGAGAUUCUGGUCAAAAGAAACAUUAAACUAUUUAAAAAAAAUGAUUUUGUCUUUUAAUAUAUUUUAUAUAAAAAAUUUCUAUAUUAAAAUUUUUUAAUAAAUUUUAUGUUUUUUAAAUUAAAUUAAAUAAUAAAAAUAAAUUUUAUGCUUUUUUAUCAAAACUCAAUUAUUAUUAUUAUUAGAAUAAUAUUUAAAUCGUUUGAUUUUAUAUUUUUAAUUAAUAAUUUAUGUAAAAAUUAUUUUUAAUUAAUAAUUUUUAUUUUUUUAAAAUAAAAUAUAUCAAAAAAAAUUUAUAAAUAUUAUGAUAGAAAUGAUAUAUUUUUAUAUUUAAUUAUUUAUUUCUAAGGAUGACAUUUAUCUUUUCUAGGCUUGAUGUUGAGAUUUCCCCUCUGACGCAUUCAAUCUUGAGCAUGGGAGUCCCUUUUAUGUCUUAGAAAGGUUGAAGAGAAGGUGGGUAAUGAGUAUCCAAC